rnacentral:rRNA from 1 species
AUUAUACAGCGAAACUGCGAAUGGCUCAUUAAAUCAGUUAUCGUUUAUUUGAUAGUACCUUACUACUUGGAUAACCGUGGUAAUUCUAGAGCUAAUACAUGCUAAAAACCCCGACUCACGAAGGGGUGUAUUUAUUAGAUUAAAAACCAAUGCCCUUCGGGGCUCUUUGGUGAUUCAUAAUAACUUUUCGAAUCGCAUGGCCUUGUGCCGGCGAUGGUUCAUUCAAAUUUCUGCCCUAUCAACUUUCGAUGGCAGGGUCUUGGCCUGCCAUGGUUACAACGGGUAACGGAGGGUUAGGGCUCGACCCCGGAGAAGGAGCCUGAGAAACGGCUACUACAUCCAAGGAAGGCAGCAGGCGCGCAAAUUACCCAAUCCCGAUUCGGGGAGGUAGUGACAAUAAAUACUGAUACAGGGCUCUUUUGGGUCUUGUAAUUGGAAUGAGUACAAUUUAAAUCCCUUAACGAGGAACAAUUGGAGGGCAAGUCUGGUGCCAGCAGCCGCGGUAAUUCCAGCUCCAAUAGCGUAUAUUAAAGUUGUUGCAGUUAAAAAGCUCGUAGUUGAACCUUGGGCCUGGCUGGCCGGUCCGCCUCACCGCGUGCACUGGUUCGGCCGGGCCUUUCCCUCUGGGGAACCCUAUGGUCUUUAUUGAUCGUAGCGGGGAACCAGGACUUUUACUGUGAAAAAAUUAGAGUGUUCAAAGCAGGCCUAUGCUCGAAUACAUUAGCAUGGAAUAAUAAAAUAGGACGUGUGGUUCUAUUUUGUUGGUUUCUAGGACCGCCGUAAUGAUUAAUAGGGACAGUCGGGGGCAUCAGUAUUCAAUUGUCAGAGGUGAAAUUCUUGGAUUUAUUGAAGACUAACUACUGCGAAAGCAUUUGCCAAGGAUGUUUUCAUUAAUCAGGAACGAAAGUUAGGGGAUCGAAGACGAUCAGAUACCGUCGUAGUCUUAACCAUAAACUAUGCCGACUAGGGAUCGGACGGUGUUAUUUUUUGACCCGUUCGGCACCUUACGAGAAAUCAAAGUCUUUGGG